rnacentral:rRNA from 1 species
GACGAACGCUGGCGGCGUGCUUAACACAUGCAAGUCGAACGAAGUGGCGAACGUGUGAGUAACGCGUCAUCAACCUGCCCUUCAGAGGGGGACAACAGUUGGCAACGACUGCUAAUACCGCAUACUGAAGGAGGGGAUUUCGUCUGCUUAGCUAGUUGGAGGGGUAACGGCCCACCAAGGCGAUGAUCAGUAGACGGGCUGAGAGGAUGAACGGCCACAAUGGGAAUGAGACACGGCCCAGACUCCUACGGGAGGCAGCAGUGGGGAAUCUUCCGAAAUGGAGGAAAGGCUGACGGAGCAAAGCCGCGUGAGUGAUGACGGCCUUCGGGUUGGAAAGCUCUGUUAAGCGGGACGCGGUACCGGAAUAGAAAGCCACGGCUAACUACGUGCCAGCAGCCGCGGUAAUAC